UACGUAGGGUGCAAGCGUUAAUCGGAAUUACUGGGCGUAAAGCGUGCGCAGGCGGUUUUGUAAGUCUGUCGUGAAAUCCCCGGGCUCAACCUGGGAAUUGCGAUGGAGACUGCAAGGCUAGAAUCUGGCAGAGGGGGGUAGAAUUCCACGUGUAGCAGUGAAAUGCGUAGAGAUGUGGAGGAACACCGGAUGGCGAAGGCAGCCCCCUGGGUCAAGAUUGACGCUCAUGCACGUAAAGCGUGGGGAGCAACAAG
rnacentral:rRNA from 1 species